UAAAGGAGGGAGGGAGGGAUCUGACAUAAAGGAGGGAUCUUUGCCUAGGAGUAGUCCAUUCGGAAUUCAGAAAGAAUCCCAAGAUAACAAGGAAGAAGACAGCGAGGGGGGAUAUCAAGGAGGAAGACAGUGAGAGGGGAUAUCAAGGAGGAAGACAGUGAGAGGGGAUAUCAAGGAGGAAGACAGCGAGAGGGGAUAUCAAGGAGGAAGACAGCGAGAGGAGAUAUCAAGGAGGAAGACAGCGAGAGGGGAUAUCAAGGAGGAAGACAGUGAGGGGGGAUAUCAAGGAGGAAGACUGCGAGAGGGGGAUAUCAAGAAGGAAGACUGCGAGAGGGGGAUAUCAAGAAGGAAGACAGCGAGAGGGGGAUAUCAAGAAGGAAGACAGCGAGAGGGGGAUAUUAAGAGGGAACAGAAAGCGACAGCUCUCGUCUACUUAUGAAUUUUCAGUUUUUUUGGCAGGCAUUGCUCUCUCGCUCCUUCUCUCUUUUUCUGUGUCUGGGUGUGUCUCUUUCUCUCUCUCUCUCUCUCUCUCUCUCUCUCUCUCUCUCUCUCUCUCUCUCUCUCUCUCUCUCUCUCUCUCUCUCUCUCUCUCUAUGUGUGUGUAUCUGUGUAUAUGUGUGUGUGUUUCUCUGUGUGUGUGUGUGUCUCUCCUAUUUGCAUAGCUCUCAUCCCCUGUAGGGCAUAAAACACAAUGCCAGCUCCCCUGGGGUGUCCUUAUUUAACCACAAUAUUUUUUGUUUGUCUUAAUUUACUCCUACAUUUUUUUUAUAUUCCAACUGCUCAUUGGCAGAGAGACGUACAGUACAUCAGAACAGGGGGUCGUUGGAAGUGCAUGUAAAAUUAGAUUAGGACAAUAUAAUCAGAAUAGCAUGAAUAAUGAUUUUGUUGACUUUAUUGAGUUCAUUUUUACAGGGACAGUACACAUUAAUCGACGUUUCAGUAAAAGUGACAGUUUUAGCUCGUUUUCAACCGCAGUCCUUGAGGAUGUUAGAGAGUCCAUGAGCAGGUGGACACUAAAUUUAGUCCUCAAAUACACACAAAUCACACACAUAUAUGAUUCACUGAUUACAAAGAAACCAUGCCUAAAAAAACCUAACUGAGCAGACAAUAUCCUGAUGAUCAAGAGGGGAACAACCAGACGGAUGUAACUGUGUUGUUUUAACAGCAGGUCCUGCUCUCUAAAGGCAUCUGCAUGCUUCCCAGACGGAUGUAACCGUGUUGUUUUAACAGCAGGUCCUGCCCUCUAAAGGCAUCUGCAUGCUUCCCAGACGGAUGUAACCGUGUUGUUAUAACAGCAGGUCCUGCCCUCUAAAGGCAUCCGCAUGCUUCCCAGACGGAUGUAACCGUGUUGUUUUAACAGCAGGUCCUGCUCUCUAAAGGCAUCUGCAUGCUUCCCAGACGGAUGUAACCGUGUUGUUUUAACAGCAGGUCCUGCUCUCUAAAGGCAUCCGCAUGCUUCCCAGACGGAUGUAACCGUGUUGUUUUAACAGCAGGUCCUGCUCUCUAAAGGCAUCUGCAUGCUUCCCAGACGGAUGUAACCGUGUUGUUAUAACAGCAGGUCCUGCUCUCUAAAGGCAUCCGCAUGCUUCCCAGACGGAUGUAACCGUGUUGUUUUAACAGCAGGUCCUGCCCUCUAAAGGCAUCUGCAUGCUUCCCAGACGGAUGUAACCGUGUUGUUAUAACAGCAGGUCCUGCCCUCUAAAGGCAUCUGCAUGCUUCCCAGACGGAUGUAACCGUGUUGUUUUAACAGCAGGUCCUGCCCUCUAAAGGCAUCUGCAUGCUUCCCAGACGGAUGUAACCGUGUUGUUAUAACAGCAGGUCCUGCUCUCUAAAGGCAUCCGCAUGCUUCCCAGACGGAUGUAACCGUGUUGUUUUAACAGCAGGUCCUGCCCUCUAAAGGCAUCUGCAUGCUUCCCAGACGGAUGUAACCGUGUUGUUAUAACAGCAGGUCCUGCCCUCUAAAGGCAUCUGCAUGCUUCCCAGACGGAUGUAACCGUGUUGUUUUAACAGCAGGUCCUGCCCUCUAAAGGCAUCUGCAUGCUUCCCAGACGGAUGUAACCGUGUUGUUAUAACAGCAGGUCCUGCUCUCUAAAGGCAUCCGCAUGCUUCCCAGACGGAUGUAACCGUGUUGUUAUAACAGCAGGUCCUGCUCUCUAAAGGCAUCUGCAUGCUUCCCAGACGGAUGUAACCGUGUUGUUAUAACAGCAGGUCCUGCCCUCUAAAGGCAUCCGCAUGCUUCCCAGACGGA